rnacentral:misc_RNA from 1 species
AUUUAAGAGAAAGGAAAAUAUCGAAGUACAUUCCAAUACAGAUAAGAAGAGGAUGAGAGGAAAAGGGGGAGGGUUAAGACAUGGAAUCGGUGUCUUCCCCAGAGGGCAUACUAGUGCGUUGUGAUCACAAAUAAACUUCAUCCUUCACGCUACGUAAUUGAUAAGCGAGCUAUAAGCAAAAUACUGCAAAGAGCUCUGAAAACUGCACAGCAGUCUUCAUCAUCUUAUUUUAAAACAAAAUUUUGAAUUUGACUUUGUGCUGUCUCUCCAUGCUAAGCCAUAGAGGAAUAAGCCAAUUUUCACAAAUUAAUUCAUGAUUUUAUCUUCUUCGUGCUGAAAGAAAACCUCAUUACUGUGUAAAGAAAAAAAGCAAUUAAAAUAAGGAAACAAUAUCGUCUACAUUAUAAAAGUAGGGAUUUGAGUGGCAACCCUGUUUGAGGAAGAUUUGUAAACCUAAAGGAUUCUUAAUGCUGAUUUCAAAAAUAUCAAUAAUAUUCCAAUUAGUAAAAAGCUUUGAAAGUUACAAGAAAUUAUAUUUUUGCUGAAAGAGCUUGUUUGCUGCCAUUUCAUUUGCAUAUCAAAAGCUAUGAAAGGCUGUAACUCAUUGAAAAUUUGUCCCAGAAGAAUAAUUAUAUUCCUUCUUCAGUUUAAAGUAAUUUGUCAUUUAAGCAUAAUUUCAUAUAAAU